GUUGGUGAUGGACAGGGAGGCCUGGCGUGCUGUGAUUCAUGGGGUCACAGAGUCGGACACAACUGAGCGACUGAACUGACUGACUGACUGAAGUGGCCUAGCACGCACGCACACAUGCAGAGCCAGAGGAGUUGCACUGUGAGGAGGGCAUCCUGUAGUAAGUCCCUCCUCUCUCACUGUAGUUUCAAGAAUCUCCAGGGAGAAUUGGCCUCUGCAAGUAAAGUUGUUCUGGAUACUGGGGCCAUAGAAGUCUCCUCAUUGGUAUAUAAAGUUCAGGGAGCAUCUUGGUUCCUCUGACACCAGUAUAUCAUGAAAUUAUUAAUUUCCCUGCCCCUGUCAUUUAGCACUGCAAAACAUCGCUUUCUCUAAAAGGAAAAAACAUCUCUUCUUGCUCCAACAAGACAUCUGACUUGAUUCCUGAAAAACAAAAUCAAAGGAAAAGAAGGGAGAGGAGCCCUAGCAGAGCAUCAAGGGACUGAAGUAUCUGAGUGGGAUGACAGAGCCACCUUCCAGUUUCGUCUUCUCAUCGUCUCUCCCAGGAGUCAUUUCAUCAGGGAAGUCAUUUUUCCAUUCACCCACUUAUUGGGCAAACAUCCACUGGCUUCUAUGGUGGGCUCAGUGCCAGGCUAGACUCCUUGAGGGUGACAACAUUUCUGGCUCUUCAGGGCUCACCUGGCCCAGGAAGAAGCUGCAGGUUCUGCAGUCCUGAGGCUCCAAGGCGGCUCCUACCCGAGUGGCAGGAAAUGUGCUGCGUGGCUUCCCCUGAAUUCUGGAGAGUCUGCUUCUGGGACUGUCUCCCCGCCCUUUCUUCCUCAUCUCGCCCUCAGUGCCUCUGCCACUCGCCUGCGUGCUCUUGGGCUUGCCUGUAGACAACGAGCAAAUGAGCCCGAAUCAGCAGAUGUUCUUCCCCCAGAGAACAGCUUCACCAGUUUUACAGACAAUCUGUGGGCUUUUUCUUUCUGCUGCAAAUGGCAGCAUCUCCUUAUAGAGUGAGGCCAAUAUUUUGGCAGGCCACAUGUACUGUUUAGAUUCAGACAGCUUUUAAUCUUCCUUCCCCCCUAGUUGUGGAUGUUCCUUUUAUUUUUUGUUGCAGUAUAUUUAUUUUGGAUCUUUUAUUUAUGUACCCAGGGAGCUGCUUCCUAGAAAGGGAGAUAGACUUUGCCAAAAUGCCCAUCUUCCGCAGGACCAGGGCCCAUAACUGUCACACAGGAUUUAAUGGAAAAUAUGAUUGCAUUGGAUUUAAUUUCUAGUAGCAGUUAAGUGUCUCCUGUAGUACUCUGCUCAUGUCAAGGGCCCUGUAAGUGUCGAUGCUAUGCUAUACUAGAGACAGCACAGCACAAAAUAAGCAUAAUGGGAAGAUGGAGUAAGUGGAGCGGACAAUGAAAAUUAAAUGAGAGAAAGCAAAGUUAAAGCAUGAAAAAAGGUUUAAUGGGGUAUUGUAGAAUUAGCUAUUGAAAGGACAAAGUAGAACAAACUAAAAAUAAAGAGGAAAUAUAACAGCUUAGACAAGAGGAGUACAGAGGCAGAGGAAAACUGGAGAGGCUCACAACAGAGCACAGUCAUCCAAGGAGACCUGCCAUAAAGAGUGAAAAUGUGUGCAGUGCCCUGAAGUGGCCAUGUGGUUUUGGAGGGGGUGAAUUACCUUCUGCUCUCCUGAAACUGCUGAUUUCACAGUGAAGAUUGCUGCCACAGCAAGAGCUGUGGGUAGAAUGUACAUUUAUUGCUGUCUCUGGAACUCCUCUUUCUUUUCCCCUGCCUGCUGGAAUCACCGUGGGAGUCUGGUGGUCCUCAGGUGGAACAUGGAGAGGCCAGAACAGAGCUGUUCAUGCUGAUAAGAGGCUAAUCCUAUGCCUUUGUCUAUUUAUAAAAUAGCAAACCCCAAACAAUGGUAAUUUUGUACUUCCAUCCAACAAUAUCCAAUAGAGAGGAAAAAGCUGGAAAAACCUGGAUUGGGCCCAGAGGUUAUUUGUUUUCCAGGCUUGGAAUAGAAGCGCCUCCCCCUCUGUAAUAUUUUUCUGCACAUAAGAAAAAGCACCCUGACUCUCCUCCCCUAAAAGGGAGAAAAAUACUUUGCUCAAGGUUCUUAUAUGGCAGUAGAACUGGGGAACAGGUCAGAGAGAGGGAGAAGAUAAAUUUUUUUUUUCUCCUUUGGAGAUGAGAGCUUAUGAGUAGAAUGUCUGUGUUUCCAUGCCUUUAAGGAGCUCAAAUUCUGUAACUUGGGUACCAUGUAGAAUUAAGAUCUUAUACAUCUUACAUCCUCUAACCUGCCAAGGUGCCCAAGGCACAGGGCGGUGAUAGUACUGGGCUCUCCCAGACCCCAGGAAAAUCCCCUGCCUUACCUUCCACAGGGAAGCAAACCAAACCUUUAUCCUCCAAUCAAAGGGAGAGGAAAUAGCUGAGGCCUCCCCUGAGGGUGAACGCUUCCCACUCUACUUCAAGCACAAGACACUGAGAUGCCCCUUUUCUCUGGGUUGGGGCUGUGCUGCCAGAGGAGGUGAAAUGCCAAGAUGGAGAGGCCUCACUUUCUCUUCCUUGGGACAAGGGUGUGGUGGCCCAGCUGCCAGAACAGCCUGUGGCUCCCACAGCCACCAGCAAACACUUGUGUCAUCCACGCUUUUUCUGAUUGGCCUUCCAGCCCCAAGACAGCUCCAGGGUAUCUCCUACCUCUUGGGCUCUGAACUAAUGCAUCUUUUGCUUAGUUUUAUCACAGGUUGGAUGGGAAAAGGGAAUGAGUCUGAAAGAAUGCUCAAACACGCUGUCAGCUCUAAAGAUAUAGAGCUGAGGAAACAAUGGAAGAAAAACUUGACACUCUGAGGUGCUUUGGGGAAGGUGGCUGGGUAGAUUAAAAAAAGUGGCCAGGAGGUAGCUCUGGGGGCUGGAAAAAGAGACUCUGAAACCAAUGAAGUGGGAAAGUUAGUAUGUGAGUGGAUGUUGGUCCGACAGCAGCUUGGGUUACCAUAACGCUUGUCAUGUCCCAGGAACGGCACCCAUUCUGCAUUUGCUUCUGCCCUGUUGCCAUACCCUCUGUAACUCUAACAUUCUUGUUGGUUAUGUGGGGUUUGUGACGAGUCUCUGGUAGAAAGUGGGCAUGGGUAUAGGGCCAAGGGCUGGGAUAAAUACAAUGUUAUCCAUAUAUCAUAUUCACCACAGCUGGGGACACAAUAGUUACAAGUGGUUGUUUAAUGAUGACCACAGUGCCGCUGUGUUCAAGUCUAGUUUAGAAUGCAGGUGCUGUUAUAUUAAUCAUGGAAGUGACAAGUUAAAGGGCUGUUAACACUGAGCUGCAUAAUGAACACUUGGUAUGAGUGAAUGAAAAGAAUACUGAAUAGAAAUACAAGCUACUCAAGUUGGCAGGGCUUUAAUUGCCGAGGAGUCUGAGCGUUUGCACACGUGCGUGACUGAGAAGUCACUGUGGACUGGGACGUUACCAAAGGAGAGUGAAGGAAGAACCAUGCAGUGAGACAGUCCCGCGUGAGGAAGAACCUCAGCAAACGUCAGACGGAAGCAGCACUGUGAGUGAAAUCGCAGCCUGUGACAGAGCACACAACAUCAAUCUAAACCGACCUCAGUGUCCAGGCUGCAGGGAGAAAUCAGGGAUGCAGGAAAACAAAAGAUGCAGAGGGAAGGGCACAUGCCAAGAAGAUGGGCUGGAAGAGCACAGGGAAAGGGGAUUUUUUUGCAAGACUCAACUGAUAGACAAUCGUCUGUCUCUGUCAGAAGACCUUAUUUUUAGACAUGCCAGCUCAAGUUUCAGAUUGGUGACCCAGAGGCUGUGGUGUGCUAGGAGGAGAACUGUUGCCUCUGUUCACAAUCUGCUGUGUUUGUGUUGACUUACCACGUGGCUGGGGACUCAGCUGGACAACAUACUGAAUGCCCGGUAGAAUUCCUAAAACCACUGUCGGCCCAGAGAACCCUUUGUUAAUAAAUAUUACAGCACAAUCUGUGUUUAUUCAGGGAAGUGUGAUAGGGAAAGGAAA